rnacentral:lncRNA from 1 species
GAAGUUUUUAGCUCCAAAAGCUUGACCACAGAUAGGUUCCAUGGCACCACAAAGUCCAUUGAGGACGGAGAAACCUGUGACAUUAGCGAAGGUGAAACCGAGUGUGCCACCAGCUAACUGGAGCUCCCCUAGCCUGCCUAGAAAAGCUGUAGUCACCGCGAUCUUCACAAACCAGGUUAAGUUCAUGGCCACCAAAGGAAGUGCUAGUCCUCUCUGUAUUUUCAGCUCUGAAAGCAUUAUCUGUAUUAGGUUGGCCGGCCAUUUCUUGGUGGGAUAUGAAACUGAAGGUGACUGAGAUGGUUUGUCAGUUGGGAUCUCUUCCACUCUUGAUGUUGCAGUUGCAGGCAUUAUGGAAGAAAAUUGGUGGGGUUGCUUCAAAAUCCGAAUAUAUAAGAUGGGAAAUCUGGUUUCUUAAAUAAGUAUGAAUUGAAGGCUUAGUGUUUGCUAGUGCACGAGUUUUUUGUGAGGAUAUCAGUUUCUGAAGGAGCAAAUAAGGUGCCUAUUUGUUGCAAGUUCGUAACAGCCAAUUAAUGAAAAGAGAGUUGAGCUGUUGAUUUAAAGUGCGUGAUGAUAAGGCAAAGUUCCAAAGGACAAAUCACCUUUAUAUCUCGUGAGAUAUUCGUUUCAGUGGUUUUUUCUUUCCUUAGAAUAUUUACUAUUGCUGCUUUGGAAUAGUUUUACUAUCUAACUAACCUUUCUAUUUAGCACUUGAUUCAUUGCUUAAAUAGUAACUAAGAUUGUCCUGUAAGGUAAUCAACCAGACGCUUUGCAUGCUUUCUUUUGUUCAUAUAGGGCGAAUAUAGCAUUGAAACAAGGGUAGUUGAAAAAUCAUCUCCAUGUGAGAAGUUUUAAGAGGAAACUAAAUAAAGAACAUUAUCACAUAAUAUUCAAGAGAAAAACAACAUGUUUUCAUCUGGUUUUCAUUUACCCUUUACAUUGCAUUGCAAUUCUAAGGGGUAAAAUGAUUGGAGGAUUAAUAUAAUGAAGGUGGGAGAUUUGGUGUAAAAGGCGUAAGCAAUAAUGCGGUGGUCCUUCAUCUGUUAGCUGCUUUGCGUUUUGAGGAUGAAUCGGGUUUCACUAAAAAUUCUAAGCUAUAAGGAACCAAAAGUGGGGUAGCUAUGCCACUCCAUAUCUAAGCUUUUUGCUUUCAUUUUCUAAAGUAAAUAAUAGUUUAUUUAAUAUUCUUAUCACUUCAUAUUUCUUCAGUUUACAUUCAACUGAGUUUACUUCUCUACAUUUGUAUCGUGCAAUUAGGCAGGAGAAUAUGAGGUUGAAUAAAUCAGUUACAUGUAUUCUUACAGAUAAGUGCAGAGACAUGGCUACUUAAUCUGUGGAAAAGAGGAAUUAGAGUAUAUGUCGAAUGGAAUCAAUAGUAUUUUAUGUGAAAAAUUCUUAGGAAUCACAUGUAGAAGGAAUGUAAGGAGUGCUACUUUAACGGAAGCAUUGUAGAAAGUAAUGGCUUUUUCACCGAGGUUUGAUUCCGUUCGGUUUUCUCAAAUUUUUUUCUCAGCCAUAUUGUUCACUAACAGAUUAUAUGUUAUUGCCUUAAUUUAGUAGCCUGAGAGGGAAGAAAACAUUGAGCCUUUCGAGAUAAACAGGAUCCCAAUUACCAUAUCUUAUCAUAGUGGAAGUAAAAGGGGCUAAGAAUACAACUUUGUAAGAUAUGCUAUCAGUGGGAUUUCAAGGAACUAUGCACCACUUCCCAAUAUUAGAAAAAAGGGUACUUUUUCCUAAAAAGGAAGAGGCACCUGGUUUUCUUUCUGUUGGCUUUUCUUUGUAAGGAAGAAAAGAAAGACAAACCAAAGUUUGUGACUUGUUACAUUUUUCAGUUUCAGUACAUAAUUUACAUACAAAGUGUAGCCUUAUAUAGGAAAAAUAUUACCAACUGCAAUUUGACAAGUUGGAAAGCCUAAGAACUUGAAAUUACACAUUGGCAAUAGCACCGUUAAAAUUAUCCUAUCAAAUUUAAGAUAAAUAAAAUAAGCUAACAACUUUUCUAAACAAGUUGGCAACUUGCCAACAUGUAUCAAACAUCGGGAUAGUCUAUAGUACCUCAACUUGGCAUAGUCAGUUAGCAUCUUGAUAGUCAGUUGGCAAUAGCUAGGCAGCUUGCGUCUUGUGUAUCCGCGAGUCUUGUUCGUAUUUGGACAAUCCGCCAGAUAGUCCGCCAAAGGUUGUCAGCUAGAUAGUUCUCCAACUGACAAUCCACCAUUCUUCUUGCAUUUGGCCUAUCCGUCGGAUGACUUACACCAUUGUUGUUCACGGGACUGCAUGUUCUUGAUUUGUUCGCACUUUGCUUGUCCGCCAAAUGUGCGAGCUGUUGCAUGAAUGGGCUCUCAGAACACUUUCAUUUUCACUUUCUAAUUGUAUAGAAAAGAAAAGAUAGAGAAACCAAUCUAUUUUGGUUUGAUGCAGAUGUUGCAGUCCACUAGGUUGGAGAUGUACGCACGGUAGCAUAGUGUUAUUAUCAAACAAAUUAAUGAACUACCAAUCCUCUAUCAUUGAUUGCACACAAAUUUUAUCAUAAUGAGCUGUUUGGAUGCAAUGAAAAUUCAAGUCUCUAAUCUCUAUACAUCGCCCUUCACUGCAGCAAGGGAAAAAAAAUCAACCAUAUACUUCUAUCGUUGGAAAGAUCCAAUGGCCUCUCAAAAGUUCUAAAAGGAUACGAAAUAUACGAAAUAGGUAUGUCGGCAGAUAUUAUUACUAUGAGCAGCAGCAAGUGAACUAGAGAGCAAAAGGGUAGUAAACAGUCGAUUUAUAAUCUCUAUUAAGAUAUGUUCUUGAAAUUGUUCAAGAAAAUUUUGUGUGCUUUCUCGAGAGGCAUUGGCCUUAUUUGAUGAAAGAUGCACGGUCGGAAAUGAUUGAGCAAUAUCUGGCUGGAAAGCCACCUCAUCUUCCAACUUCUUUUGUUUCUCUUCAUCUAAUUAAGCAAUCUUAGGCUAUUCGGAGAUAAGUCCCAAGUUGCAAUUUAUAUCGGUCCUAUAAUAAUUAAGCCAUGAAGAUUAUGUGUUUAGUGAAAGCCACACUGUCAAAGGGCCAACUCCUGUUGGUAAACAUUGCACUAAGUUGAUAAAUCAGGAAUACGAGUUAAAUAAUUUGAGGCAUGUUAGGCACUACUUUUAAGAAUAUUUUGUCAUAAUGUGUAUUUUUAGGACUCAACAAGCUCAUUCGUUAUAAAAAUACGGAAAAGAAUCAACAAUAGAUCACGACGAAAAGUACUUAACAAUCACAAAAAAAUGAAGAGGACGAGCAAGAGAGGAAUAAUAGAGUUUUUUUAUGGUGUGUUUAGAAUGAAAGUGAGCCAAGAUAUUUUAGAAUAGCAAAUGUAAGUUGAGUAAAAUAAAGUAAGAGGAUUUCCCUUAAACAAAAAUAAUUUUAAAAAAUGGUUUAACUAAUUUAGACUUGACUAAAUAUAGCUUCGUAUAAGCUAUUUUUAGCUUUAACCUUUUAGAAAUUUAGUAAAUAAAAAGUCUAGAAACAAAAGGGUUUGGAUGCCGUGAUGUAUCACGUGCGGCGGGGGUGGCGGGGGGAUCGAUCAAUUUACAUUGGUCUUUUGAGCCUAGUUCUCAUGCGUGCUUGAUGGGUUCCGAGUCCACUAAAAAUAAUAUUCCUACACUUAAAUAGUAUAUAAAUAGUAAUAUAUGGAGUAGGGUUGAUCCCACAAAAACUGGGAUAUCUAAAAUUGUUGUUCGAUUUAACCAAGUUGUAUGUUAGGCAACUGUCGUGCCUAAGAUGUGUGACAAUCUGUGUGAAAAUAAAAAGGGAGUAUUAAAUCUAGUUAAAAUGAAAACAAUAGAAAUAAUUAAAAUCAAAAUAGCAGUAAAAUAAACAAAAAUGAAAUUAUAUUGACUAAAUUGAUGUGACGAUGUUCUAACUUUAGGCUCGAUUUUAGCUCCGGUUUUAAACCAAUCUUUAAUAACAAGUUUUCUCAUUUAAUUGGUAAGUUAGUUAUAGUGAUCGAGGAUGCUUUAGACCAAUAACUCUUCCAUGUGUAAAUUAAUUGCGCGAAUGCUCGACAUAUAACCCUUACUGAAUGAACAACCACAAAACACGUAUCCACGAUUUAACUCUUCGGUAGCCUUACGAACUAGAAGGGCCCAACUCAAAUCAACAACCUCAACUGCGUAGAUCGUUUAAAUACCAUUUCCCUUGAUGAAUCCAACCACUCACUCAAUUGAACAUUCCAGUGACGAAGCUAAAGGGGUUGACAGGGUCUUGCCCAUAAAAUAAAAAAUUCCUUUAUAAUUUAUAAAAUUUUAAAUUAAUAAAAAUAAAUUUAUACUUGGUCCCUCAAAUGCUACGAUUCUUAUCCUAGCUAACUACACCUAUAUCACCCAAUAAUUAAUUAGCUUUCUUGUUCCAAUUCCACUCUUUACUGAUUUAAAUAUUGGUUGGAAUUUAUGGUAAGCUUAAUCAAGUGACACUAAUGGGGCCAAACCAAUCAUGAUAUUAUUAUUAUAGUAUUUGAUUUGAUUUUUAGUGGAAUCAGAGUUGUACCUCUUAACUUUGUUUCACUCCAUAAAUGAUGGGUGCAUGAUGACAACACAACUUGAAUAACUUUCCAAGUGAGUCAAGGAAAGAAACACUAAAAAGACAGAGACAGCAAAACGAAAAAUAAAGUUAAAAUUUUCUUGUACUCAAGUUUAAGGCCUCUCAUUUUCUGGUCUCCACUUAACUCUUAUAAUUGCCAAACAAAAUGGAUGGGUUUUCUUUGCCAAAUUUGAAAAUGGUUCCAUAUAAGUUAUCUAUCAAUUGAAAUGCACCCAAAAGUGUUCCAACUAUCUGCAUUUUAGUGUUAUGUGUGAAUUCUCAACCCUUAAGUCUUGUAUACAAAUUAAAUGGUUCCAUAGACAUUUUUGGGAUGGCCUAGGAAAAUCUAAGCUCUGUGCGGUAUCAUCUUCAACACCUCACCGCACUUAAAGAGAUUCAUUGCAUAUUCAGAACUUCAAUGGAGUGUAAGCUUAGCUGGACAUGUUGGGAAACCUAGCACUUUGCUUCCCUGUUUAGCUUGUUUCUUUGAGCUGUAUUCUGAAUGGACAUAUGAGCAUGACCAUUGUUCUCCAGCAUCCCUGUAAAGCUGUUGCAUUCUGCAAAUUCUUGUCUAGGACAUUCUUCAAGGUCAUAUGAAGUUCUUCAUAUGUAGAAUUCAUGGCAUUGAAGCUCUAACAAUCUUAUCAUCGUGUGCUUUUCAUACUUCGUUGUCAUUUACCUUGUUAACUGUUUCCAGAUUCCCAUCAGAGGCAAGUAUAUGCGCCUUAUCGGCUUCUUCAUGCCACUUUAUUCUCACAACCAUCACCAACAACAAUGCCAAACAUGUUGCCAUCCCAACUAAAAGUCCUAUCAAUAACCCGCUCAGUCCAAGUGCAGCUUUGAAUGCCAAAACAACACCCAACGGUAAAGCUAAGAGAUAGAAGCCCCCAAGGUUUGCAUACAUUGCCAACCAUGGCCGAGCUGUUCCACGAACAAUUCCUCCACAAACAGCUAAGGGGAAGUUUACAACUUCAAUCACUGCCAUUAGCAGCAUCAUCUUUUUCACUCCUGUUAUGAUUCCUUUGUCAUGGCUAAACAGAGGAGCCCAAACGCCUCUCGCGCCCACCAUUGCCAAUGCACCAACGCAACCGGAAAUUGUGCUCACUGCAAGAGUUACGUAUGCAGACUGGUAGGCGGCUAUGGGCUGGUUUGAACCGAGCUCAUUAGAUACACGAGUAGAUGCACACGUGGCAAGUGAUAACAUCACAGAGUAGAGCAAGUAGUCGAAGUUCAGAACGAUAGCAAUCACUCCGACUGCCUGCUUGGCAUUCCGUAGCCUUCCGGUAAGCAAGACUAGAAUCUCAUAGCACCACCAUUCAAGGCAGGUGGUAAGACAACAUGGUCCACUAAGCUUGAGCAGUCUAAGCCAGUCUUCAACUCGUUGAUCCCACCAUCCUCCCUCAUUCCAGUUCUCUCCCUUUCUAUUCUCUUUCACCACUACAUACAAGACCAGAAGGAUUGCAGCUAUGAGAUCGCUUAUCCAGAUUGCCAUCGAAACCCCUUCAAUACCCUUAGCUUUUGCAAGAAAGAUAUUGAUGGGGAUGUGAAAAGCAAGCGCUAAAGCCGAGCUAAACAUGAUGGGGAUAGUUAUGCUUUGAGAGCUCAAAUAGGCCUUGAGAGGGCAUAGCAAUGAAGUGACAACCAAAUCAGGUAGAAGAUAGAAAAGAUACGUCUUUGCAACAGCUGAAAUGUCUUCUUUUUGGCCAAAAUGGAUUAGAAUUUUAUCAACAUUAAGCCACAGGAACGAAACAGGUAGUGUAGUUAACAGUAACAAGAUUAUGGCCAUCAAAAGUGUCUUGUGAAGGAGCCUGAAGUUUUUAGCUCCAAAAGCUUGACCACAGAUAGGUUCCAUGGCACCACAAAGUCCAUUGAGGAAGGAGAAACCGGUGACAUUAGCGAAGGUGAAACCGAGUGUGCCACCGGCUAACUGGAGCUCCCCAAGCCUGCCUAGAAAAGCUGUAGUCACCGCGAUCUUCACAAACCAGGUUAAGUUCAUGGCCACCAAUGGAAGUGCUAGUCCUCUCUGUAUUUUCAGCUCUGAAAGCAUUAUCUGCAAUAGGUUGGCCUGCCAUUUCUUGGUGG